UUUACAUUCCCACCGCCAGUGCGUGAAGGUUCCAGUUUCUGCCCAUCCUUGCGACUCUUGUUCUCUGUUUUUCUUUUUAGAGUUGCCAUCCCAGUCGGGUAUGUUUACUGAUUUUGGAGAAAAAGGAAGAGAGAGAGAAAGAGAAGAACAGUGACUAGUUGCCUACUGUGCGCUCCCCACCCGGAGAUCAAACCUGCAGCCCAGCUAGAAAAAAUGAAUGGGUCCAAGAGCUGGAUAACUUUCUUGCUGGAGCCUUCGGCCAGGGCGGGGGAAGGCAGCAGCCAGACUGGGCCCCGGCCCGCCCUCCCAGCCACCCGGCCUCAGCAAACACUGCCCAUCAAAUGCACACCCUGUGUUCGUGGCCUCGAGAGCCAAAUAGCUGUUUGAAAACCAAUGACAAACACUGGCUGUGGAGAAGCAAGUAAUAGCCACUUGAAUGACAGGUCCACUUUUUCCUUCUUGCCCUCUGAAGAAGGGCAGAGAGAAAAGGCUGUUCAUGAAAAAAUAAAUUUAAACGAAUCAGUGCUGGGCAACCAUGUGCACAUCUGUUCUUAACAGGUUUCAGCUGAAACUACUGAAAAUAUACAUAGAACUGUUUAUGUGGAACCAGUUUAAUAUGAUAAGAUUACAACUUGGAGGGUAACUAUGGAUUUGGUGGGAAAAAAACCACCCUCUGCACUCAGCGUCCACAUUUGCUCCUCGUGUUUUACCCCAGAUGUUGCUGAGGGACUCAGAUUCGCUGCGAGUUAAAAAGAUCCUCAUUAUUUGAGAUUAGUUACAAACAGACUCAAGAUGUCCCGCCAGCCUUUCUGCAGCACACAACUCCUGCCUGGCCUCCAGUCCGGGCCAAGUCCUUUGUUAUCAGAGAGGGGCCGCAGCUGGGGAACCACUUGUUUCUGAGUAAUUCUGUCUUCACUCCCCCGACAAGCCGCUAAGGAGGAAGACCGUAGGCUGCUUGCACAUGGGGCCCAGC